GAUGAAGAACGCAGCGAAAUGCGAUAAGUAAUGUGAAUUGCAGAAUUCAGUGAAUCAUCGAAUCUUUGAACGCACAUUGCGCCCGCUAGUAUUCUGGCGGGCAUGCCUGUCCGAGCGUCAUUUCAACCCUCAAGCCCCCGGGCUUGGUGUUGGGGAUCGGCGAGCCUCCGCGCCCGCCGUCCCCUAAAUCUAGUGGCGGUCUCGCUGUAGCUUCCUCUGCGUAGUAGCACACCUCGCACUGGGAAACAGCGCGGCCACGCCGUUAAACCCCCAACUUCUGAACGUUUGACCUCGGAUCAGGUAGGAAUACCGCUGAACUUAAGCAUAUCAAUAAGCGGAGGA
rnacentral:misc_RNA from 1 species